rnacentral:rRNA from 1 species
UACGGAGGGGGGCUAGCGUUGUUCGGAAUUACUGGGCGUAAAGCGCACGUAGGCGGAUUGGAAAGUUGGGGGUGAAAUCCCGGGGCUCAACCCCGGAACUGCCUUCAAAACUCCCAGUCUGGAGGUCGAGAGAGGUGAGUGGAAUUCCGAGUGUAGAGGUGAAAUUCGUAGAUAUUCGGAGGAACACCAGUGGCGAAGGCGGCUCACUGGCCCGAUACUGACGCUGAGGCACGAAAGCGUGGGGAGCAAACAGG